AACCCAUGGUGAGGGCACCUUCUCAAUAGAUCCUUGCAUCUCUCCUAUGCAUUGUAGAGUGUUUCUAGAUCCAUCUAUACAAAAGAAGAGAUAUGAUUUCUUAAUUU
rnacentral:snoRNA from 1 species